rnacentral:rRNA from 1 species
GUUUAAGAAUUCAUGCUACCCUGAACAAGCCCAAUCCAAUCUGAUCUCAGAAGCUAAGCAGCUCAGGCCUGGUUAGUACUUGGAUGGGAGACCACCUAGGAAGACCAGGUGCUGUAGGCA